UACAGAGGAGCCAAGCGUUGUCCGGAUUGACUGGGCGUAAAGCGCACGCAGGCGGUUGCGCGCGUGGGGUGUGAAAUCUGGCCGCUUAACGGCCAGGCGCCAUCCCAUACGGCGCGACUGGAGUGAUGCAGAGGUCGAUGGAAUUGCCGGUGUAGUGGUGAAAUGCGUAGAGAUCGGCAGGAACACCCAGGGGGAAACCAGUCGACUGGGCAUCUACUGACGCUGAGGUGCGAGAGCGUGGGGAGC
rnacentral:rRNA from 1 species